rnacentral:lncRNA from 1 species
CUAAUUGGGCUUGUUUAUUUGGUCUUCUAUAUUUGGGCUCAAGUUAAUCAAGGUAAGUAUAUUUCUAUUUUUUUUUCAAUUCCCACUCAAGACUGGAUUCUUCUUAAUUUAUAGGUAAAUAGGUUGAUCCAUGCGGGAGGAGCUAAUUGGGCUUGUUUAUUUGGUCUUCUUAUGUGGCAUAUUUAGAAAAACUGCAGCUUAUACAUCUUUUAAGGCAAACCGUGAAGCUCUAAUGAAAUUGUUCAAGGAUUCGUUAGCUGGGCGAUUCAACUUCACUCUGGUCCUCAGGAAGUCCCUUUCGCCUGUCUUAGAUAAUUUUCUGAAACACGCCUCACUGAAGAGCGAGUUUUUCU